rnacentral:rRNA from 1 species
GCAUAAUCACUUGUCUAUUAAUUGUAGACUGGAAUGAACGGGUCAAUGAAAUUUAAGCUGUCUCUAAUUAAUUAAAUAAAAAUUAGUCAUUAAGUGAAGAAACUUAAAUAAAAUUGAAAGACAAGAAGACCCUAUAGAGCUUUACUUUAACUUAAAAUCAUAAUUUUAAUUAUAGUUCGGUUGGGGCGACCAGGGAAAUAUCAUCUCUAAACACAUAGAAAAAUAUUUCAUUUAAAAUGACCCUUUUAAGAUCAUAAAAUUAAGCUACCUUAGGGAUAACAGGCUAAUUUUCCUUCAGAGACCUUAUUAACAGGAAAGA